GUCUCUAGUGGGGGCGCCGGGGGACACCCCACCUCCGUUUCCUACGCGGUUCCUUCCGGACGGUCACGGCCGGGUCUACGCGGGCUGGAAGCGGGGACGAGCGGCGGCCGAUAAGUUGAGCGGCUGGGGGCGGCUGAAACGGAUGGUUGAGGAGCUUCAUCCAUCCCAGACCUCCCCUCCCCAUCAGUACCAAAAAAAGAGAGAAGAUAGUGGAAACACCUACCCCCGCCCCGUGUUUUCUUCUUUUUCCCCCCCAUCUCAGUAUCAUACUUAGAUCCGUUCCCUCGCGUGGGCAUCCCAGGGGAGACCUUAGUCCAGCCCUGCGGUAGCUGUCACUCUGUUAGUGAGGCCCAGGCUCUCCCCAGACCUGUGUCAGCUGGGAGACAGUGGGGCAACCCUAGAGUGGGAUGGGGUGGGGUGCACUGGGACCCAAGGCCCGGCUGCGGGAGUCCAGGUGGCCUGCCUACUGCUAGCUCUCAGUAUCCCCUCAGUUCGGCCUGUCCAGGGUGAGAUUCGGGAAGCAACUACACAUUUUUUCACUGAGGGUCGAGUCAGGCAGGGCGGACAGUCCAGGUGUGACCUGCCCUGGGCGCUAAGUCGGCCGAGGCUGAGGAGCACUAGGAUUCUGAGCUGAGGAUCAAGUGGACAAAUUCGUGCUGCAAGUGGACAGAAGACUCCUGUGGAGUGAGUGGUCCUUACCCUUCAGAAAUGUAGUAUCCAAUUGGAGAGUGUCAUUUUACAAAGUGAGGAGCAUCCUGAUUGCUGAACACGUGGAGGUGCCUGCAGAGCGUCACCCUGGAGAGAGCAUGAAAGCUCUGCACCUUCUCCCACAACGCCUUGCCCUGUGCUUCUCUUCAUCUAAAUUGUCUUCUGUAUCCUUUAUUAUGUACUUUAAAUAAACUAGCAAAUGGGCCGGG